GACGAACGCUGGCGGCGUGCUUAACACAUGCAAGUCGAACGGAAAGGCCCGGCUUUUGUGGGGUGCUCGAGUGGCGAACGGGUGAGUAACACGUGAGUAAACUGCCCUUGACUGUGGGAUAACACCAGGAAACUGGGGCUAAUACCGGAUAGGAGCUCCUGAUGCAUGGUGGGGGUUGGAAAGUUUCGGCGGUUGGGGAUGGACUCGCGGCUUAUCAGCUUGUUGGUGGGGUAGUGGCUUACCAAGGCUUUGACGGGUAGCCGGCAUGAGAGGGUGACCGGCGACAUUACGACUGAGAUACGGCGCAGAAUCCUACGGGAGGCAGCAGUGGGGAGUCUUGCACAAUGGGCGGAAGCCUGAUGCGGAAACGCCGGGUGCGGGAUAACGGCCUACGGGUUGUAAACCGCUUUCGCCGGUGACGAAGAGUGAGUGACGGUAAUGGGUAAAGAAGCACCGGCUAACUACGUG
rnacentral:rRNA from 1 species